AAGUGACAGGUGGUGCAUGGUUGUCGUCAGCUCGUGUCGUGAGAUGUUGGGUUAAGUCCCGCAACGAGCGCAACCCUUAAGCUUAGUUGCCAUCAUUAAGUUGGGCACUCUAGGUUGACUGCCGGUGACAAACCGGAGGAAGGUGGGGAUGACGUCAAAUCAUCAUGCCCCUUAUGAUUUGGGCUACACACGUGCUACAAUGGACAAUACAAAGGGCAGCUAAACCGCGAGGUCAUGCAAAUCCCAUAAAGUUGUUCUCAGUUCGGAUUGUAGUCUGCAACUCGACUACAUGAAGCUGGAAUCGCUAGUAAUCGUAGAUCAGCAUGCUACGGUGAAUACGUUCCCGGGUCUUGUACACACCGCCCGUCACACCACGAGAGUUUGUAACACCCGAAGCCGGUGGAGUAACCAUUUAUGGAGCUAGCCGUCGAAGGUGGGACAAAUGAUUGGGGCGAAGUCGUAACAAGGUAGCCGUAUCGGAAGGUGCGGCUGGAUCACCUC
rnacentral:rRNA from 1 species